rnacentral:rRNA from 2 species
CCACCGGGAUGUUCAUAACCCUUUGUUGUCCGACUCUGUUGCCUCCGGGGCGACCCUGCCUUCGGGCGGGGGCUCCGGGUGGACACUUCAAACUCUUGCGUAACUUUGCAGUCUGAGUAAACUUAAUUAAUAAAUUAAAACUUUUAACAACGGAUCUCUUGGUUCUGGCAUCGAUGAAGAACGCAGCGAAAUGCGAUAAGUAAUGUGAAUUGCAGAAUUCAGUGAAUCAUCGAAUCUUUGAACGCACAUUGCGCCCCCUGGUAUUCCGGGGGGCAUGCCUGUUCGAGCGUCAUUUCACCACUCAAGCCUCGCUUGGUAUUGGGCAACGCGGUCCGCCGCGUGCCUCAAAUCGACCGGCUGGGUCUUCUGUCCCCUAAGCGUUGUGGAAACUAUUCGCUAAAGGGUGCUCGGGAGGCUACGCCGUAAAACAAACCCAUUUCUAAGGUUGACCUCGGAUCAGGUAGGGAUACCCGCUGAACUUAAGCAUAUCA